rnacentral:ncRNA from 2 species
CCUGCUGUACGACCAGCAGUAACCUAGGAGGACAUGCGUCAUUGGCAACGAUGAGGUGUGAAGCUUCUCUGACAAUAGGUCCCAGAAAGUUCGGGGACUCUCGGCCGUGAGGUCGGUGUCCGAUACUCCUAGCAGCACAGGGGUUGAGACC